GAUGAACGCUGGCGGCGUGCUUAACACAUGCAAGUCGAACGAAGCACUUUAUUUGAUUUCCUUCGGGACUGAUUAUUUUGUGACUGAGUGGCGGACGGGUGAGUAACGCGUGGGUAACCUGCCUUGUACAGGGGGAUAACAGUUGGAAACGGCUGCUAAUACCGCAUAAGCGCACAGCAUCGCAUGAUGCAGUGUGAAAAACUCCGGUGGGAUAAGAUGGACCCGCGUUGGAUUAGCGAGUUGGUGAGGUAACGGCCCACCAAGGCGACGAACCAUAGCCGACCGGGGAGGGGGACCGGCCACAUUGGGACUGAGACACGGCCCAAACUCCUACGGGAGGCAGCAGUGGGGAAUAUUGCACAAUGGGCGAAAGCCUGAUGCAGCGACGCCGCGGGAGCGAAGAAGUAUUUCGGUAUGUAAAGCUCUAUCAGCAGGGAAGAUAAUGACGGUACCUGACUAAGAAGCACCGGCUAAAUACGUG
rnacentral:rRNA from 1 species